AACGAACGCUGGCGGCAGGCUUAACACAUGCAAGUCGAGCGCCCCGCAAGGGGAGCGGCAGACGGGUGAGUAACGCGUGGGAAUCUACCCAUCACUACGGAACAACUCCGGGAAACUGGAGCUAAUACCGUAUACGUCCUUCGGGAGAAAGAUUUAUCGGUGAUGGAUGAGCCCGCGUUGGAUUAGCUAGUUGGUGGGGUAAUGGCCUACCAAGGCGACGAUCCAUAGCUGGUCUGAGAGGAUGAUCAGCCACACUGGGACUGAGACACGGCCCAGACGCCUACGGGAGGCAGCAGUGGGGAAUAUUGGACAAUGGGCGAAAGCCUGAUCCAGCCAUGCCGCGUGAGUGAUGAAGGCCCUAGGGUUGUAAAGCUCUUUCAACGGUGAAGAUAAUGACGGUAACCGUAGAAGAAGCCCCGGCUAACUUCGUGCCAGCAGCCGCCGUAAAAC
rnacentral:rRNA from 1 species